rnacentral:lncRNA from 1 species
ACUACUCCCACGUGUCUGGAAGCCUGCGGUCCAUCCUAGGGCAGCAGGACUUGCAGCGCUCACCUGUCUGGAGCCCAGAGGCGGGUGGUACGAUCCCGGGACACAGACACAAAGGCUCCCGGUGGGUAGAGGCAGCACACCAGGCCCCUCACGUCCAGUUCGUGGCCCGGGAGCGAGCAGCUCAGCCGGUAUCUGGCGGCACCGCUCGCCAUGGCCAGCGUGGAUCCGGAGCCCGGCUCCCCGGCACAGCGCGAGACUCGUCCACAGGCCCGAGCUGGCGUGCGCCAGGAUGCGGCCCGAGACCCGCCUGCAAGAGAGGGGCGCCGGAGACCGGAAGAGCCAGUCAGCCGGUACGGAAGGACCGCGGGGGAAGGGGCGC